CAGUCGCCACGGUAAUACGUAGGUGGCAAGCGUUGUCCGGAAUUAUUGGGCGUAAAGGGCUCGCAGGCGGUUUCUUAAGUCUGAUGUGAAAGCCCCCGGCUCAACCGGGGAGGGUCAUUGGAAACUGGGAAACUUGAGUGCAGAAGAGGAGAGUGGAAUUCCACGUGUAGCGGUGAAAUGCGUAGAGAUGUGGAGGAACACCAGUGGCGAAGGCGACUCUCUGGUCUGUAACUGACGCUGAGGAGCGAAAGCGUGGGGAGCGAACAGGAUUAGAUACCCGGGUAGUCCCUGUCUCUUAUAC
rnacentral:rRNA from 1 species